rnacentral:rRNA from 1 species
UACGAAGGGGGCUAGCGUUGCUCGGAUUGACUGGGCGUAAAGGGCGCGUAGGCGGUUCGUACAGUCAGACGUGAAAUUCCUGGGCUCAACCUGGGGGCUGCGUUUGAUACGUGCGGACUUGAGUGCGGAAGAGGGUCGUGGAAUUCCCAGUGUAGAGGUGAAAUUCGUAGAUAUUCGGAAGAACACCAGUGGCGAAGGCGACUUACUGGACACAUAUUGACGCUGAGGUGCGAAAGCGUGGGGAGCGAACAGG